CCUACGUGGAGCAGCAGUGAGGAAUAUUGGUCAAUGGGUGUAAGCCUGAACCAGCCAAGUCGCGUGAGGGAUGAAGGUUCUAUGGAUCGUAAACCUCUUUUAUAAGAGAAUAAAGUGUGGGACGUGUCCUAUUUUGUAUGUACCUUAUGAAUAAGGAUCGGCUAACUCCGUGCCAGCAGCCGCGGUAAUACGGAGGAUCCGAGCGUUAUCCGGAUUUAUUGGGUUUAAAGGGUGCGUAGGCGGGCUUUUAAGUCAGCGGUGAAAGUCUGUGGCUCAACCAUGGAAUUGCCGUUGAAAUUGGGGGGCUUGAGUAGGUUUGAGGCAGGCGGAAUGCGGGGUGUAGCGGUGAAAUGCAUAGAUAUCACGCAGAACUCCGAUUGCGAAGGCAGCCUGCCAGGCCAUGACUGACGCUGAUGCACGAAAGCGUGGGGAUCGAACAGGAUUAGAUACCCUGGUAGUC
rnacentral:rRNA from 1 species